rnacentral:rRNA from 1 species
GACGAACGCUGGCGGCGUGCUUAACACAUGCAAGUCGAACGGAAAGGCCCUGCUUUUGUGGGGUGCUCGAGUGGCGAACGGGUGAGUAACACGUGAGUAACCUGCCCUUGACUUUGGGAUAACUUCAGGAAACUGGGGCUAAUACCGGAUAGGAGCUCCUGCUGCAUGGUGGGGGUUGGAAAGUUUCGGCGGUUGGGGAUGGACUCGCGGCUUAUCAGCUUGUUGGUGGGGUAGUGGCUUACCAAGGCUUUGACGGGUAGCCGGCCUGAGAGGGUGACCGGCCACAUUGGGACUGAGAUACGGCCCAGACUCCUACGGGAGGCAGCAGUGGGUAAUAUUGCACACUGGGCGGAAGCCUGAUGCAGCAACGCCGCGUGCGGGAUGACGGCCUUCGGGUUGUAAACCGCUUUCGCCUGUGACGAAGCGUGAGUGACGGUAAUGGGUAAAGAAGCACCGGCUAACUACGUG